rnacentral:rRNA from 1 species
AACGCGAAGAACCUUACCAGGUCUUGACAUCCUCUGACAAUCCUAGAGAUAGGACGUCCCCUUCGGGGGCAGAGUGACAGGUGGUGCAUGGUUGUCGUCAGCUCGUGUCGUGAGAUGUUGGGUUAAGUCCCGCAACGAGCGCAACCCUUGAUCUUAGUUGCCAGCAUUUAGUUGGGCACUCUAAGGUGACUGCCGGUGACAAACCGGAGGAAGGUGGGGAUGACGUCAAAUCAUCAUGCCCCUUAUGACCUGGGCUACACACGUGCUACAAUGGGCAGAACAAAGGGCAGCGAAACCGCGAGGUUAAGCCAAUCCCACAAAUCUGUUCUCAGUUCGGAUCGCAGUCUGCAACUCGACUGCGUGAAGCUGGAAUCGCUAGUAAUCGCGGAUCAGCAUGCCGCGGUGAAUACGUUCCCGGGCCUUGUACACACCGA